GACGAACGCUGGCGGCGUGCUUAACACAUGCCAGUCGAACGGAAAGGCCCUGCUUUUGUGGGGUGCUCGAGUGGCGAACGGGUGAGUAACACGUGAGUAACCUGCCCUUGACUUUGGGAUAACUUCAGGAAACUGGGGCUAAUACCGGAUAGGAGCUCCUGCUGCAUGGUGGGGGUUGGAAAGUUUCGGCGGUUGGGGAUGGACUCGCGGCUUAUCAGCUUGUUGGUGGGGUAGUGGCUUACCAAGACUUUGACGGGUAGCCGGCCUGAGAGGGUGACCGGCCACAUUGGGACUGAGAUACGGCCCAGACUCCUACGGGAGGCAGCAGUGGGGAAUAUUGCACAAUGGGCGGAAGCCUGAUGCAGCAACGCCGCGUGCGGGAUGACGGCCUUCGGGUUGUAAACCGCUUUCGCCUGUGACGAAGCGUGAGUGACGGUAAUGGGUAAAGAAGCACCGGCUAACUACGUG
rnacentral:rRNA from 1 species